AAGUAGAGUUGUUAAGAGCUGUUAACACCUCCCGCUCCCCCCGCACUUUCCCCGCAUCUCCCCACCCCCUCUCCCCCCUUUGUAGGAUUCCGCAUUCAACAGUAUUCGACUGCGGCCGGCGAAAACGCACUGCCCCGCCAACUGUCGAUAUCUGUCGCUCACGAGCUGCGUCCGCGUCAGAAUACAGGGUCAAAAAUCCCACUUUUCGUCCAGUGUUUGGUUUGCAUUAACCUACAGAGGCCAGGGGUACACCCAUACCAGAUUACCCCAAGGCUACUCGGAAAGUCCAAGCAUAUUUUGCGAGGCAAUUAUGACCUGCUUAUAUGAUUUCCAAAUAUCAGAAAAAAGUCAACUAUUAAUAUAUGUUGAUGACCUGUUAAUAGCAUCAGAAAGCGAGGAAGCGUGCAGAACAGACUCACUCACUCUGCUGCACCACCUCUGUGAAACGGGAAACAAAGUGAGCAAAGAUAAGCUACAGUGGGUGAGAGAAGAAGUAAACUAUUUGGGACACACACUCUCAGAUGAGGGAAAGCAAAUACAGAAAGCAAGAAAAGAGACAGUAGCUGAAGCACCAAAACCUGAAACUAAAAAACAAAUUAUGUCCUUCCUCGGACUCUGCAACUACUGCAGGGUCCGAGCAGUAGUUGCUCGGACCCUGAGCAACUACUGCUCAGGGUCCACACAGCAUAGUGUGGAAGCAACCACACAGCAUAGUGUCGAAGCAACGUUGCUUCGACACUAUGCUGAAAAAACUCAGGCUUUACAGGAUUUGAUUCAUGGCACCCCAAUGGCCAUGACUGACAAAAUAACUUGGAAUCCAGAAGCUGAAAAAAGAUUUACUGAACUAAAACUAGCUUUGAUACAGACAACAACUUUAAUUCUUCCAAAUUAUGAAAAGACUUUUGUUCAAACUGUGGGUUGCAAAAAUGGAUUUAUGACUUCUGUGUUAAUACAAAGCCAUCGUAAUAAGCUAAAACCUUUAGCCUUUUACUCAAAGAAACUAGACCCAAGCAGCACAGUCCCUACCAGACUGCGUGCAAGCAGUCUGCGUAGCAGCGUUAGCAGUAAACAUGUCAGCAGACAUAGUUUUGUUUCACAAAAUGGAGCUGUUAGUUCCACACGCUGUGGAUGUUCUACUAUUACAGAGCAAAAUUAAUUUGCUCUCACCAGCAUGACACCUUUCGUACACAGCGACGCUUUUGUCACAACCACACAUUGUGAUAAAACGGUGUACAAUACUGAAGCCAGCAACAUUGCUUCCAUUACCAAAUGAUGGAACUCCACACAGUUGUCUAGAAGCUACUGAACACCUGCAGCUUCCUAGAUCAGACCUACAAGACAUUCCUUUAGCAACUGGAGAAGUUGCUAAAGGACUUCUCCUUUAGCAACUGUAUGGUCCUUUGGAUCAUGCUCAAAAGACCAUACAGGAAAAAAUCAGACAGGUUACUCUGUUGUUGCUUUACCUAACAAGGUAAUUGAAGCUGAGAAACUACCAAGCACUCAUUCUGCACAGGCAGCAGAACUGAUUGCUUUAACCAGAGCAUGUGCACUAGCCAAGGACAUGCACCUGACGGUGUACACUGAUAGCCAGUAUGUUUUCUCUACGCUGUUCUAUUUUGCAAAACAAUGGGAACGUAGAGGAAUGACAACAUCUACAGGGAAACCAGUAACUCAUGUGUCCUUGCUUAAAAAUCUUUUGCAAGCAAUACAACUCCCAGCUAAGUUGGCAGUCUGAAAAUGUGCAGCUCAUACCGCAGGAAAAGAUGAAGUUUCAAAUGGUAACAGACUAGCUGAUAAAAUAGUUAAAGAAGCUGCAGCAGGGAAGCAUGGAAAGGACAAUUUCUCAGCACAGGCUGAAGAACAACAAAUGAUUGACUAAACAGUGUUAAAAGACAUGCAAGAUAACGCGCCGCAGGCAGAAAAACGAAUGUGGAUAACUAAGGGUGCGAAAAUGAAUGAUGAGAAAAUUUUUCAAAUAAAUAACAAACCAGUUGUCCCAAAGUCUUUAUUUAAAGCAGCCGCAAUUGUGGCACAUGGGCGGUGCCAUGUGUCAACAGGGGGAAUGAUGGGGAUGAUACAACAACACUUCACAACAUAUGGAUUAAAUUCUUACCUAAAAUUUUUUUGUUCUGCAUGUCCAGUCUGUGUUACACACAAUCCUCAAGGGAAUAUAAGGCCAAAAAGAGGAAGUUUCCCAAAACCCUCAUAUCCAUUUCAAACAAUGCAUAUGGAUUUUAUUGAACUCACACAAAGUGGACCAUACAAAUAUUGUUUAGUAAUGAUUGAUGCUUUUUCUAAAUGGGUUGAAAUAGUUCCAGCAAAAUAUGCAGAUGCCUUGACAGUAGCUAAAGCUAUAUGUAAAACUAUUAUUCCAACACACGGCAUCCCACAGACUAUUUACAGUGACAAUGGGCCCCAUUUUGCAAACCAAGUGAUACAAAACAUGACUACUCACUUGGGAAUGAGAUUGAAAAACCACUGUGCCUAUCACCCUCAGAGUGCAGGCCUGGUGGAAAGAGCAAAUGGUACUGUGAAAAGCAGAUUAAGAAAAUGCAUGGAAGACACUGGCCGGCCCUGCCCAGAAUGUUUAGAUUUGGUGAAGCUCUAUAUGAGAAUCACCCCAACAGCAGAUGGUUUAACACCUUUUGAAAUAAUUCAUGGGAGAGGUUACAGAUUGCCUCUGUUUGGUCCGGAUUUACAGAAAGCAGAUGAAGAAUAAAUGUUAGUAGAUUAUAUGAUCAGAACUCUUAAACUGAAGGAAGUGUCCAGUACAAAUUUACUGCCUUCUGAUUCUCUUCCUUCGCAGGAGACCACUCCCAUCGAGCCAGGAGACUGGGUCUACAUUAAAGUCAUCAAACGAAAGAACUGGGCGAGUCCACGGUGGGAAGGACCGUUCCAGGUGCUGAUGACCACACCAACAGCUGUAAAGAUUGCUGAACGACCCAGCUGGAUACAUCUGAGUCACUGCAAGCUGCAGAGAGUGUUGGACCUCUAAUCCUGAGUGACAGGGAAGUUCUGGCUUCACAGGGGUUCCAUUUUUUAGGGUGGUUCAUCUCAACGCCAGUGAAGAAACUCGACAGAUCCUCACUCUUUAGUUUGGGGGCUUUGACAUCUCUGCGCGCCGACACGCAAUGGGGACUCCAUAUGCCAGAUGGAUCUUCUACUGCGCUGUGACUGCAGCAUCACCUACCUGUGGUGGCAACUGAUGAACAGAACUGCCCACGAGGAGAACGAGAUGAACUGCUAUGUGUGUGCGCAGCUGCCAAUUGCCACACACAACUCAGGUCUGCGCCUGGGGAACAUCACUGAUGACAAACAGCUGUGUCUCUAUGGCCUGAG